rnacentral:rRNA from 1 species
UGCAGUUGAGCGCUGAGGUUGGUACUUGUACCGACUGGAUGAGCAGCGAACGGGUGAGUAACGCGUGGGGAAUCUGCCUUUGAGCGGGGGACAACAUUUGGAAACGAAUGCUAAUACCGCAUAAAAACUUUAAACACAAGUUUUAAGUUUGAAAGAUGCAAUUGCAUCACUCAAAGAUGAUCCCGCGUUGUAUUAGCUAGUUGGUGAGGUAAAGGCUCACCAAGGCGAUGAUACAUAGCCGACCUGAGAGGGUGAUCGGCCACAUUGGGACUGAGACACGGCCCAAACUCCUACGGGAGGCAGCAGUAGGGAAUCUUCGGCAAUGGACGAAAGUCUGACCGAGCAACGCCGCGUGAGUGAAGAAGGUUUUCGGAUCGUAAAACUCUGUUGGUAGAGAAGAACGUUGGUGAGAGUGGAAAGCUCAUCAAGUGACGGUAACUACCCAGAAAGGGACGGCUAACUACGUGCCAGCAGCCGCGGUAAUACGUAGGUCCCGAGCGUUGUCCGGAUUUAUUGGGCGUAAAGCGAGCGCAGGUGGUUUAUUAAGUCUGGUGUAAAAGGCAGUGGCUCAACCAUUGUAUGCAUUGGAAACUGGUAGACUUGAGUGCAGGAGAGGAGAGUGGAAUUCCAUGUGUAGCGGUGAAAUGCGUAGAUAUAUGGAGGAACACCGGUGGCGAAAGCGGCUCUCUGGCCUGUAACUGACACUGAGGCUCGAAAGCGUGGGGAGCAAACAGGAUUAGAUACCCUGGUAGUCCACGCCGUAAACGAUGAGUGCUAGAUGUAGGGAGCUAUAAGUUCUCUGUAUCGCAGCUAACGCAAUAAGCACUCCGCCUGGGGAGUACGACCGCAAGGUUGAAACUCAAAGGAAUUGA